GACGAACGCUGGCGGCGUGCUUAACACAUGCAAGUCGAGCGGAAAGGCCCUUUCGGGGGUACUCGAGCGGCGAACGGGUGAGUAACACGUGAGUAAUCUGCCCUGUGCUUUGGGAUAGCCACCGGAAACGGUGAUUAAUACCGGAUACGACACGUCUCCGCAUGGAGGUGUGUGGAAAGUUUUUCGGCGCAGGAUGUGCUCGCGGCCUAUCAGCUUGUUGGUGGGGUAAUGGCCUACCAAGGCUUCGACGGGUUGCCGGCCUGAGAGGGUGACCGGCCACACUGGGACUGAGACACGGCCCAGACUCCUACGGGAGGCAGCAGUGGGGAAUAUUGGACAAUGGGCGGAAGCCUGAUCCAGCAACGCCGCGUGAGGGAUGACGGCCUUCGGGUUGUAAACCUCUUUCAGCACCGACGAAGCGAGAGUGACGGUAGGUGCAGAAGAAGGACCGGCCAACUACGUGCCAGCCGCCGCCGUAACAC
rnacentral:rRNA from 1 species